AAUUUUUUCAUUCGUUCAUUUCGAUUGAUUUGAUUUUGUGAUGGCAGAGGAUAGGAAUUUGUUCGAUAAUUUACGACGGCAGAAAGAUGUUGUGCAAAGUCACAUUGUCGAAAUUGUGGCUUUAUUAAGGAAUGAACGCAAUCAACUGAAAAUUGAAGGCGAUUCAUUGAAUAAUAACUGCGAUCAAUUGAAGGAUCAACGCGAUAAAUUGCGUCAGAAUGUUGAAUUUCUUCUGAACAAGAUGUUGAUCUAGGAAAUUGCUGAUUCCUAUGCCGAUAACUUUUCCGAUAUCACCUGAAGAACAAAUGUGCAUACGUGGCCACAUAUGACGACAAAUUCAAAUAGGGCGAUUUGAUUCGAUUGUUCAUUCAAGGAAGAAUUAAGCCAAAACCAGAAACAAAAAAUGAUUUUGCAUGAGAACAAAUUAUAAAUUUUAUUUUUUUUUUGUAAAUUGUUUUCGACAACUUUCUUUAGUUUUGUUCAAAUUCUUCAACAAAAUUUAAAUAGUAAUAACAUUGUUAAUAAAUUGUAUUUUUUAUUGGCCGACCCUAGUAGAAAAUAGAGACAUCAAGAACAUACAGUGGUCGGAUGCUUGUCAAAAUUCAACGUAAGAUGCUAUAAAAAAGUAAAUAAUUAUGUAAUUUGCUUAAAAUUUGUAAUUUUAA